GACGAACGCUGGCGGCGUGCUUAACACAUGCAAGUCGAGCGGAAAGGCCCUUCGGGGUACUCGAGCGGCGAACGGGUGAGUAACACGUGAGUAAUCUGCCCUUCACUCUGGGAUAACUGCCGGAAACGGUGGCUAAUACCGGAUAUGACCACUUCGCGCAUGUGAUGGUGGUGGAAAGUUCUUUCGGUGGAGGAUGUGCUUGCGGCCUAUCAGCUUGUUGGUGGGGUAAUGGCCUACCAAGGCUUCGACGGGUAGCCGGCCUGAGAGGGUGACCGGCCACACUGGGACUGAGACACGGCCCAGACUCCUACGGGAGGCAGCAGUGGGGAAUAUUGGACAAUGGGCGGAAGCCUGAUCCAGCAACGCCGCGUGAGGGAUGACGGCCUUCGGGUUGUAAACCUCUUUCAGUACCGACGAAGCGAGAGUGACGGUAGGUACAGAAGAAGCACCGGCCAACUACGUGCCAGCCGCCGCCGUAACAC
rnacentral:rRNA from 1 species